rnacentral:lncRNA from 1 species
AAAAAAUCAAAUCAAAUCCCCUCCCAAGAGAAACGGUGGAGAUCCCCAAGCUAAAAAUUGAAGAGAGCGCUGCUCCUCCUCUUCGACCCUCCAUCUCCAAACCCUCCCUCCCAUAACCAAAAAAAACACAUAAAAACAGAUAAUAAAAAUCAGUCUUAAAACUCUCCUUGAGUACCACAUUAAUUCCUAUCUAUACAAUCCCAUCCAAGAACCAAACAUUGAAGGAUCUCAGAUUUUGUUUUGCUGAUGGCAUUUGAUGAAUCCAUCCAAGUGUUGCCUUGUAACGAAUAGUAGUGAUAGUUUCACCAUUUUGAAUUUCAAAAUUAUCGAGCUGAGAUGGAAAUUAUAGCUGAGAAAAGCAAAAGAAAAGAGAACGGGUUUAGUGGGUCAGAGUCAUUAAGUGAUUCAGUGUCCAACGGGACCAGUAAUAGUAGUAGUACGAGUUCCAGUCCUCGUUCGGGAUAGGUGUCCGAGCUCCGUUGUUGCAUAUGUCCUGAGGUUCUCAAGCUGUGUUGGUAUAUGAAUUUGCUGGUUGUUGCUGUCCCUGUGCGCCGAGCUUCAUACUAGGCGUGUUCCGGUCUUUAUUC